rnacentral:rRNA from 1 species
GACGAACGCUGGCGGCGUGCUUAACACAUGCAAGUCGAGCGGUAAGGCCCUUUCGGGGGUACACGAGCGGCGAACGGGUGAGUAACACGUGGGUGACCUGCCCUCAGCUCUGGGAUAAGCCUGGGAAACCGGGUCUAAUACCGGAUAUGACUCCAUGACGCAUGUUGUGGGGUGGAAAGCCUUGUGCGGCUGAGGAUGGGCCCGCGGCCUAUCAGCUUGUUGGUGGGGUGAUGGCCUACCAAGGCGACGACGGGUAGCCGGCCUGAGAGGGCGACCGGCCACACUGGGACUGAGACACGGCCCAGACUCCUACGGGAGGCAGCAGUGGGGAAUCUUGCGCAAUGGGCGAAAGCCUGACGCAGCGACGCCGCGUGUGCGAUGAAGGCCUUUGGGUCGUAAAGCACUGUCGAACCGGGACGAAAACCUGCGAGCUAAUACCUCGCAGGCUUGACGGUACUGGUAAAGGAAGCACCGGCUAACUCUGUGCCAGCCGCCGCCGUAAC